UACGGGGGGAGCAAACGUUGUUCGGAUUUACUGGGCGUAAAGGGCGCGUAGGCGGCCUCCGCAAGUCAGUUGUGAAAUCUCCGAGCUUAACUCGGAAAGGUCAACUGAUACUGCGGGGCUAGAGUGCGGAAGGGGCAACUGGAAUUCUUGGUGUAGCGGUGAAAUGCGUAGAUAUCAAGAGGAACACCUGCGGCGAAGGCGGGUUGCUGGGCCGACACUGACGCUGAGGCGCGAAAGCUAGGGGAGCGAACCGG
rnacentral:rRNA from 1 species